AAAUUGAAGAGUUUGAUCAUGGCUCAGAUUGAACGCUGGCGGCAGGCCUAACACAUGCAAGUCGAGCGGUAGCACAGAGAGCUUGCUCUCGGGUGACGAGCGGCGGACGGGUGAGUAAUGUCUGGGAAACUGCCUGAUGGAGGGGGAUAACUACUGGAAACGGUAGCUAAUACCGCAUAAUGUCGCAAGACCAAAGUGGGGGACCUUCGGGCCUCAUGCCAUCAGAUGUGCCCAGAUGGGAUUAGCUAGUAGGUGGGGUAACGGCUCACCUAGGCGACGAUCCCUAGCUGGUCUGAGAGGAUGACCAGCCACACUGGAACUGAGACACGGUCCAGACUCCUACGGGAGGCAGCAGUGGGGAAUAUUGCACAAUGGGCGCAAGCCUGAUGCAGCCAUGCCGCGUGUGUGAAGAAGGCCUUCGGGUUGUAAAGCACUUUCAGCGGGGAGGAAGGCGUUAAGGUUAAUAACCUUGGCGAUUGACGUUACCCGCAGAAGAAGCACCGGCUAACUCCGUGCCAGCAGCCGCGGUAAUACGGAGGGUGCAAGCGUUAAUCGGAAUUACUGGGCGUAAAGCGCACGCAGGCGGUCUGUCAAGUCGGAUGUGAAAUCCCCGGGCUCAACCUGGGAACUGCAUUCGAAACUGGCAGGCUAGAGUCUUGUAGAGGGGGGUAGAAUUCCAGGUGUAGCGGUGAAAUGCGUAGAGAUCUGGAGGAAUACCGGUGGCGAAGGCGGCCCCCUGGACAAAGACUGACGCUCAGGUGCGAAAGCGUGGGGAGCAAACAGGAUUAGAUACCCUGGUAGUCCACGCCGUAAACGAUGUCGAUUUGGAGGUUGUGCCCUUGAGGCGUGGCUUCCGGAGCUAACGCGUUAAAUCGACCGCCUGGGGAGUACGGCCGCAAGGUUAAAACUCAAAUGAAUUGACGGGGGCCCGCACAAGCGGUGGAGCAUGUGGUUUAAUUCGAUGCAACGCGAAGAACCUUACCUGGUCUUGACAUCCACAGAACUUUCCAGAGAUGGAUUGGUGCCUUCGGGAACUGUGAGACAGGUGCUGCAUGGCUGUCGUCAGCUCGUGUUGUGAAAUGUUGGGUUAAGUCCCGCAACGAGCGCAACCCUUAUCCUUUGUUGCCAGCGGUUCGGCCGGGAACUCAAAGGAGACUGCCAGUGAUAAACUGGAGGAAGGUGGGGAUGACGUCAAGUCAUCAUGGCCCUUACGACCAGGGCUACACACGUGCUACAAUGGCAUAUACAAAGAGAAGCGACCUCGCGAGAGCAAGCGGACCUCAUAAAGUAUGUCGUAGUCCGGAUUGGAGUCUGCAACUCGACUCCAUGAAGUCGGAAUCGCUAGUAAUCGUAGAUCAGAAUGCUACGGUGAAUACGUUCCCGGGCCUUGUACACACCGCCCGUCACACCAUGGGAGUGGGUUGCAAAAGAAGUAGGUAGCUUAACCUUCGGGAGGGCGCUUACCACUUUGUGAUUCAUGACUGGGGUGAAGUCGUAACAAGGUAACCGUAGGGGAACCUGCGGUUGGAUCACCUCCUUA
rnacentral:rRNA from 8 species